rnacentral:rRNA from 1 species
CCUACGGGAGGCAGCAGUGGGGAAUAUUGCACAAUGGGGGAAACCCUGAUGCAGCGACGCCGCGUGAGUGAAGAAGUAUUUCGGUAUGUAAAGCUCUAUCAGCAGGGAAGAAAAUGACGGUACCUGAUUAAGAAGCCCCGGCUAACUACGUGCCAGCAGCCGCGGGAAUACGUAGGGGGCAAGCGUUAUCCGGAUUUACUGGGUGUAAAGGGAGCGUAGACGGCAGCACAAGUCUGGAGUGAAAUGCCGGGGCUUAACCCCGGAACUGCUUUGGAAACUGUGCAGCUAGAGGGCAGGAGAGGUGAGUGGAAUUCCUAGUGUAGCGGUGAAAUGCGUAGAUAUUAGGAGGAACACCAGUGGCGAAGGCGGCUUACUGGACUGUAACUGACGUUGAGGCUCGAAAGCGUGGGGAGCAAACAGGAUUAGAUACCCGAGUAGUC